GCGAGUUGGUGUGUGGCUGUCGGAUCCAUUUAGUUGGGUCUGAGGAAACUCCGCCCACAUGUAGAAUUGCAGCACUUUGUGUAAGGUGAGAACCUUGGCAACGGAGCAGAAACGACACGUCCAAUUGGUGCUUUAACAGAUGAGGUAUUCUAAAAUGCUGAUUAGUCAAUUUGGAAGCGAUGAAACGGCCGUCCUGCAAGUGGAAAGGGCAAACAGACGCUGAUGACCCUCUACAAAAGGCGCGGGUAGCCCGAUUAGCCGAAUGCCACAAAAUAAACAAAAGGCGGGUUAUGUCCAACACAC
rnacentral:RNase_P_RNA from 1 species